GCGUAAGUAGACUAAACCUUCGUUACCCGUUUUUCCGCCCCCAACCACGCGCCGCUCAAAUUUUAACUCUAUUCGGCCCCUUCCGCUGCAGCGCGCGAGAGCAGAGAAGUGAGCUGCCCCGGCUUACUCACCAGGAGGAGGUGGAGGUCAGGGUUCGAGAGGGUUUGGGGGUUGGAGAGCGUAUCCGUAUCCGUCUCGUCUGGGUGGGCGACGUCUGGACCUGGUGGCCAGUGCUCCGGUGCGCAGUCCCUUUGUGGGAGAGGGAGAGGCCGUCUUUUGCCUCCACCUGCAGCAGGUGGAAACGGCCGGGGCAAGAAUUACGGCGCGCCAUUAGCGGCGCUCGAAGAUGAUGUCAGUGGCCUCCAGGCCUCCGGCCUCGCGUGACACUCCGCAGUGUACCCUACCCGAACAUGCAUGCAUGCGAUCGAUCGUGAGGUGUAAAUAAUGCCGUCAGCCGUCCAACGGGUAGGGUAGGGUAGGGGAGGGCAGCGCCGGCGGCAGGGAAGGGAAGAGCGGAGGUCCAGGUCGGUCUAUAAAAGCAGGCGAGUCAAGUCAAGUGAUGGGCGCCACCGGCGCUCUUGGGCCUAGCGGCUAGCUGUCUACCUGCGCCGGUAUAGGCGGCGGGUGCUUCGCGGCGGGCGACAGCAGGAGCAGAGGCGGCCGCGGUCGGUGAGGCAGCGGGAGGAGCGCCCGUUACACGACACGUGCACCCCGUCCCCUCUCCUGCCCGUCGAGCCGGUGCCCCUGCGGCUCCUGGCCGAGCACGGCUGCCACUAGUCGCCGAAGCUGCGCGGCCCCUAGUGCAGGCAGUAGACGCCCCGCCUGGUGUGGUGGCGGAUGAGGCUCCUGCUCGUGGUCCAGAUGUCGACCCCCACCCCCCUAAAGCCCUCCGACCCCGUACCGUUGAGGUGGCUGCACAAGUGCGGGGUCGGCCAGUUCCGCGACGUCCCCUAUUUCUAGUUCGUCGAUCGGACACCCCUAUCGGUGACAGACCGGCAGUGGUACCGGCCGCUUCACGAGUCGACCCCCGCAUUGGUUUUACCGGUCGAACCAGAACCUUGAUGACUUCUAAGCGACGAGGGUGUUUGCUAAGUUCGAAAACACCCAUAAAGACACUUCUACUAACGACGACCACGACUUGUAUGACGACGUCAUUGACUUCUACCGCUUUAGAUGCCUACCCCGACCCCAGCUAUGCCUUUGAACCCAGAACCACUAGCCUUACUGGCUAAACAAGGACUUUUUCAUAGAAGUCACCUCUACCACGAACAACGUACGCCUACCGCGGUAUGGUAAUGACAAAGGAGGAGACCAUCAAACAUGUGAAUGCCAACCUCGUUUAUACCAGUCGAACCCGUACCGCUAAAACUUCUAGUAGAUCAAGGUGUAUUUCACCUUCGGAACUUCCUAUCGAGAUGUAGGGUCUAAAGUCCACCUACCUCCGUAUGUUACCGUGAAUGUAGUCUACCUUUCGAAAUACCUACCCCUACCUUGUUCAAACCCGUUCAACCUCGACCGCUAUUACGGCUAGUGACAAGGGGGCGUGUCCAAUUAAAAGGGCUCCUUGUCUUUCAACGGGUUCAACGAACACCUACCUCCGUGUGAGAACGAAAGUGUCUUUUCUUUUUACACAAACGUACCCCUUCCCCAUGAUCACCUGUUGAGCCAGUACCCCUUUAUCAACUGUCCUUGUGCGGACACUACUAACUACGGGAUUCGGGCCUGCCAGGACCGACGUUCUUCAACCUCAGAAGUCGUCGAUAAGGGAAACGUCGAUUUUAAACCCACAGUGGGAGACUUUCUAUACGAGAACAAGGACUACUCUUCCAACGGUUUGGUCCGCUACAGUCGCGUGCACCGUUACCACGCCUACGCUCACACGGGCUCUUGCUACAUUUCUCCUACGCGCACAGUAGGAUCAAGCUACUGUAUAGUAGAUACAUGGAGUAAUUGGGAUCGUGAUGAUAGUUUUUGGGAACGCGCAGCAAGUGGUCAAAGGUGGAUCACCACAGGUCAAGAACACGUAAGGCAAGACGGCUUCAUGAAAGGUCUUCUCCUUGGAGGAGGACCGCAACUCUACUACAUAGUCGUGGAUACCCGACACCACAUAUUAAGUGGAGAAUCUCCACCGAUCAUCUUAGUUGGACCUGGACACAAGACUUACAAAGCCAUCGACGUAGGCUGUGAAACAAACCUGCCGUGUUAGUUAUUCGAUAAGCAAGAAUAGAGGAUUAAAAGU
rnacentral:rRNA from 1 species